AGUCUGGAGGCUCUCGGGAGGAAAAUGCCACCCUCAUGGGUGGCACAGGGACACCAGAGCCAGGCUGUGCCUGGCAGGACCCAAACUCAUCCUUUCUGAGAGGCUGGGGGGAAGAAUAAGGGCGUUUGGGUGACGGCUUUGAAAGAGCAGGCCUUUACAAAAGCCUUGGUUGGAUGUUCUACAUUUUCAGCUGUAACAGCAGAACUUUCCCACGCUGCCUCUCCAUUUAGCAGCUGACAAGCCAGACCUGUAAUCACCAUCUUUAUCCCAAGACAAGCUGAAAAACCAAAAUGUUUCUGAAACGCUGAAGACCCUUUCUGAAGAAAUGCAGAUGCCAUCAGUCGAUCCUUUCCACCUUCCCCAGGAUCCUCCCCUCGUACAUGGGCAGGAUGGUUUCGUCUUCCCAGAUCUCCUCAAACACCGCACCGCAGUCAAACUCGUCGCUUGCUUUUUUGAAGUAGUAUCUGUGGGGAGGAGAAUUAAAACACAGGAUGCUGCUCGGGAUGGGAUGCGGGGAGCAGGGCUCUGCACACUCCUCAGCCAUGGCAACAGCUUCCCCAAGUGAGGGAAUGACACAUGUUGGCACUGGAUAUCCUCAGCAGUAAGGAAAAUUAGAAAGCACAGUGAUUUCUGGCCAAAUGUCUUCUUUAAAAGAUAAAUAAAUAGGAUUUCAAAGCAAAGCAUUCUGAAGGUUCCCCUCUCUCUCCACCUUCUUUCUUUCAUGUGUUUUCUUGUUUCAAAGCUGAAGCCCAACAUUAAAAUUAGCAACUGUUAUUAAAAGGAGAGGCUUUUUAGGAUGAAAAGCAAACCAUGCCCUGCUUCCUGCAACGCACAAGCUGAAACUCUGUGGCGCUCCUACUGAAAAAGAAAACCCCAAACCGGGAGUUGCACACUCGAAACAACCCUGUGCCCAAUUCCCAGAUCCAUUUUAAGU